rnacentral:rRNA from 1 species
GCUAUCGGUAUGCUUAACACAUGCAAGUCGAACGGACUAAUUGGGGCUUGCUCCAAUUAGUUAGUGGCAGACGGGUGAGUAACACGUGGGGAUCUACCCAUCAGUACGGGAUAACUUUUACAAAUAAAAGCUAAUACCGUAUAUUCUCUACGGAGGAAACAUUUAUCCGCUGAUGGAUGACCCCGCGUCAGAUUACGUACUUGGUGAGGUAAUGGCUCACCAAUCCGACGAUCUGCACCCGGUUUGAGAGGAUGAUCACCUACACUG